rnacentral:rRNA from 1 species
UACGUAGGGUGCGAGCGUUAAUCGGAAUUACUGGGCGUAAAGCGUGCGCAGGCGGUUCUGAAAGUCAGCUGUGAAAGCCCCGGGCUCAACCUGGGAACGGCGGUUGAAACUACAGGACUAGAAUCUGGCAGAGGGGGGUGGAAUUCCACGUGUAGCAGUGAAAUGCGUAGAGAUGUGGAGGAACACCGAUGGCGAAGGCAGCCCCCUGGGCUGAGAUUGACGCUCAGGCACGAAAGCGUGGGGAGCAAACAGG